rnacentral:lncRNA from 1 species
GGAUGUGAGGGUGAUCUGGUUGAGACAUCUGUCACCCUACUGACCGCCAGGGUUGAUUCAGCUGAUCUGGCUGGCUAGGCUAGUGUCCCCUUCCUCCCUCACCACUCCAUGUGUGUCCCUCCAGAAGCUGCCUGCUUGGUCGAAGAGAAUGACCAUCCCCAACAGAGAAGGACUGGUCUUCAGUCAAGGAUGUAUGAGUAGCUGGGCUUCCCUGCUAGAGCCUCCAAACAAGCUCUUAAG